GCAUCUCACUGCGCAGGUGUUGUCUAACCCCCGUGAGGGACGAGACCGCAUGGGUAGUGUGAGGCUUUAACUGCUGUCCGGCCAGGACUCCUACCCACUAGUCAACGCCCCCGUGUGUGCACUGGGCUUCCUUUAUACAGUAAGUACAGAAGGGCGACCCGUUACCCUUUAGGCAUAGGUGUAACGAGGCUUUUCUUCAGUCAGUAAAGAGGUAAAAAGUAACUGCCUCGUCGGCGUUAAUGUUACUUUGCCGGUGUUGCCGGUUUAUUCGUGAGUACGAAUGUAAAGAUGUGUUUUUCCUCUUUUGUUGAGGAGUUGUUAGUGUAUAUGAGCCAACUGUAUAAAUACAACCAGUAUUUACAGACAAGCUAUUUGUACGUAUAACAUUUGAUGUACUUGGGGUGACUCAUGUAUGCACGAAUGUCAAUGUCGUCCUGGAGAUCUCAAUUUUAUACUUGUGCAUGGAUUGUACUUGUGAACACCGAGCUAAGCGAGAUACUUGUGCCCACAGAGAUUUCGGAUCAGAUAGUGUAUUCAAUUCAACAAAGAGAA
rnacentral:lncRNA from 1 species